UACGAAGGGGGCUAGCGUUGCUCGGAAUCACUGGGCGUAAAGCGCACGUAGGCGGCUUCUUAAGUCAGGGGUGAAAUCCUAGAGCUCAACUCCAGAACUGCCUUUGAUACUGAGAGGCUUGAGUCCGGGAGAGGUGAGUGGAACUGCGAGUGUAGAGGUGAAAUUCGUAGAUAUUCGCAAGAACACCAGUGGCGAAGGCGGCUCACUGGCCCGGUACUGACGCUGAGGUGCGGAAGCGUGGGGAGCAAACAGG
rnacentral:rRNA from 1 species